rnacentral:rRNA from 1 species
UACCAGCACCCCGAGUGGUCGGGACGAUUAUUGGGCCUAAAGCAUCCGUAGCCGGUUUUACAAGUCCUCCGUUAAAUCCAGCUGCUUAACAGAUGGGCUGCGGAGGAUACUAUAAGUCUAGGAGGCAGGAGAGGCAAGCGGUACUCAGUGGGUAGGGGUAAAAUCCGUUGAUCCAUUGAAGACCACCAGUGGCGAAGGCGGCUUGCCAGAAUGCGCUCGACGGUGAGGGAUGAAAGCUGGGGGAGCAAACCGG